rnacentral:rRNA from 1 species
UCAUAUGCUUGUCUCAAAGAUUAAGCCAUGCAUGUCUAAGUAUAAGCAAUUAUACCGUGAAACUGCGAAUGGCUCAUUAAAUCAGUUAUCGUUUAUUUGAUAGUACCUUACUACUUGGAUAACCGUGGUAAUUCUAGAGCUAAUACAUGCUGAAAACCCCAACUUCGGGAGGGGUGUAUUUAUUAGAUAAAAAACCAACGCCCUUCGGGGCUUCUUGGUGAUUCAUGAUAACUUCACGGAUCGCAUGGCCUUGCGCCGGCGACGGUUCAUUCAAAUUUCUGCCCUAUCAACUUUCGAUGGUAAGGUAUUGGCUUACCAUGGUUUCAACGGGUAACGGGGAAUUAGGGUUCGAUUCCGGAGAGGGAGCCUGAGAAACGGCUACCACAUCCAAGGAAGGCAGCAGGCGCGCAAAUUACCCAAUCCCGACACGGGGAGGUAGUGACAAUAAAUACUGAUACAGGGCUCUUUUGGGUCUUGUAAUUGGAAUGAGUACAAUUUAAACCUCUUAACGAGGAACAAUUGGAGGGCAAGUCUGGUGCCAGCAGCCGCGGUAAUUCCAGCUCCAAUAGCGUAUAUUAAAGUUGUUGCAGUUAAAAAGCUCGUAGUUGAAACUUGGGCCUGGCUGGCAGGUCCGCCUCACCGCGUGUACUUGUCCGGCCGGGCCUUUCCUUCUGGAGAACCUCAUGCCCUUCACUGGGUGUGCUGGGGAACCAGGACUUUUACUUUGAAAAAAUUAGAGUGUUCAAAGCAGGCCUUUGCUCGAAUACGUUAGCAUGGAAUAAUAGAAUAGGACGUGCGGUCCUAUUUUGUUGGUUUCUAGGACCGCCGUAAUGAUUA